rnacentral:rRNA from 1 species
GAUGAACGCUGGCGGCGUGCUAAACACAUGCAAGUCGAACGGAAAGGCCCCAGCUUGCUGGGGUACUCGAGUGGCGAACGGGUGAGUAACACGUGGGUGAUCUGCCCUGCAUUUUGGGAUAAGCUUGGGAAACUGGGUCUACUACCGAAUAUGACCACCUCUUGGAUGUUGUGGUGGAAAUCUUCUGCGGUGUGGGAUGAGCCUGCGGCCUAUCAGCUUGUUGGUGGGGUAAUGGCCUACCAAGGCGGCGACGGGUAUCCGGCCUGAGAGGGUGUACGGACACAUUGGGACUGAGAUACGGCCCAGACUCCUACGGGAGGCAGCAGUGGGGAAUAUUGCACAAUGGGCGCAAGCCUGAUGCAGCGACGCCGCGUGGGGGAUGAAGGCCUUCGGGUUGUAAACUCCUUUCGCUAUCGACGAAGCCACUUGUGGUGACGGUAGGUAGAUAAGAAGCACCGGCUAACUACGUGCCAGCCGCCGCAGUAA